GAGUAACGCGUAUGCAACCUACCUUAUACAGGGGGAUAGCUCUCGGAAACGAGGAUUAAUACCCCAUACAAUUAAUGGAUGGCAUCAUUUAUUAAUUAAAGCUUCGGCGGUAUAAGAUGGGCAUGCGUGCCAUUAGAUAGUUGGCGAGGUAACGGCUCACCAAGUCGGCGAUGGCUAGGGGUUCUGCAAGGAAGAUCCCCCACACUGGUACUGAGACACGGACCAG
rnacentral:rRNA from 1 species